rnacentral:misc_RNA from 1 species
AAGUCGUAACAAGGUCUCCGUAGGUGAACCUGCGGAGGGAUCAUUAACACAGUAUAUACUUAACUGUAUAUCAACCAACGGUAAAUGUUCUCCCCGAUCUAACAGCCCUGAAUAAGGGCAGGUGUAGAAGCGGUCUAUGGUAUGAGUAAGACGGGUUGGCUGCAUGGGUGUUGAAGCUUCGGCUUCUCCUCUUGUAUUCCUCUCUCUUGACUCUGCCGCCUCUGCUACUGUACCUUUUGAGUACAAGCCAAUGUUAGUGAAGGCUAUUCGUGGGUCAGGUCCCUUAGAUACCAUGAGAGGCUUGAUCUGCACAUUUAUUCAACCCUUUUGCUAUUAUGUCUGAUUGUUAGUUGGUUUUCCAACUAAAUUUCUAAAUAUCUAUACAACUCUUAGCAAUGGAUAUCUAGGCUUCCG